GUGUCAUUUCUCUGCGCCUGA
rnacentral:miRNA from 1 species